ensembl:ncRNA asRNA:CR45167 antisense RNA:CR45167
AUAUAUCCCUGACAGCCCUGAAUUUGCCCACGUUGUUUAGAUGCUCGUUCUCCAACCGAAAGUAAUUCCAAAUGAAGCGACGGAAAACCUCCAGGGGACUGAGAAUGGUCAUCAUCACAUCGCCCUCAAUGUAGCCAGCCUCAAUUAGACUCAUGGACAGGGUCCAGCUGAAGCGCAGUAUUAAAUCCUCAAUUAUGCCAAAGUAGUAGAACCACUGGGCACCGACAAGAGGAGAGAUAAUGAACGCUUUGAAAGAUUGUUUUACGUGCCGUUUGCCCAAAUAUUUAUCGUGGCCAUUAUUUUGUGGGGACUGCCCCCCUACUCCAAAUAGGAGAAAAAAACAAAACUCCACCCAACCGGACUCACCGUCGAUGAAUAAACGAUUUCCUCACGCAAGAAUCGAUUGUCGCCCGCCUUCGAGUCGAACAGUCCCCAGUCCAUUUUGAUGUCCCAUGUGUAGGCGUAGCAGGACGAGAAGAUGGCGGCCGUAAUCCAGCAGUAGAACCAAGGAUUCUCCUUGGACAGCGGGUAGGUGUCUGGAGAUGAGAAGACAAUGGCUUGGGUGAAAGAGGAAUGUACGUGCGAUACCGCCAAAAUACAAUCUACAUGAAUUUUCGACACUAAUUGGCACUGGACCGUAAAUAGCACACAUAAUGUAUAUAUGUGUACAUAUAUAUAUAUUUGCAAUUGCGAUGUGCCCUAAUGAACUCAUGCUUCGUAUAAUGAAUCCACUUACCGGUGGUCGUGUGAUAUUUGUGGGCAAAUAUAACCACAAAGAAGGACGUUGCAUACUUGGCGGCGUUGACCAGAUGCGGAAAUGACUCCUUUGUGUCGCGGUAUCUGCGGAUGCACUGGGCGAACCGGAAGUAGGCAGGCAUUAUGGCAACAAUGGGAUGCAACAGAGACACGUACUCCACACAGUGGCUGGCAGCUGUUGCACAAGCAAAACAAUGAUGAAUUGGGGAAAGGACCAAACCGACAAGCUGGUCUCAAGCAGAACGAGUAGCAUUGUAAACUUUUAUUGAAUGCUCAUAAAAAGGAAUGGAAAUCUUUGAUUUUUCCCCUACUUUUACUUCAAAUUGAGUUCAGCAUCGGAAACCCUGUGCU